UACGGAGGAUGCAAGCGUUAUCCGGAAUGAUUGGGCGUAAAGCGUCCGCAGGUGGCUGUGUAAGUCUGCUGUUAAAGAGUGAGGCUCAACCUCAUAAAAGCAGUGGAAACUACACGGCUAGAGUGCGUUCGGGGCAGAGGGAAUUCCUGGUGUAGCGGUGAAAUGCGUAGAUAUCAGGAAGAACACCGGUGGCGAAAGCGACUACCUGGCCUGUUCUUGACGCUGAGGCGCGAAAGCUAGGGGAGCAAACGGG
rnacentral:rRNA from 1 species